AUUGAACGCUGGCGGCAUGCUUUACACAUGAAAGUCGAACGGUAACAGGCCUUCGGGUGCUGACGAGUGGCGAACGGGUGAGUAAUGCAUCGGAACGUACCCAGAGGUGGGGGAUAACGCAGCGAAAGCUGUGCUAAUACCGCAUGUGAUCUGAGGAUGAAAGCGGGGGACCGAGCAGCAAUGUUUGGCCUCGCGCCUUUGGAGCGGCCGAUGUCGGAUUAGCUAGUUGGUGGGGUAAAGGCCUACCAAGGCGACGAUCCGUAGCUGGUCUGAGAGGACGACCAGCCACACUGGGACUGAGACACGGCCCAGACUCCUACGGGAGGCAGCAGUGGGGAAUUUUGGACAAUGGGCGCAAGCCUGAUCCAGCAAUGCCGCGUGCGGGAAGAAGGCCUUCGGGUUGUAAACCGCUUUUGGCAGGAACGAAACGGUGUCCGCUAAUACCGGGCGCUAAUGACGGUACCUGCAGAAUAAGCACCGGCUAACUACGUG
rnacentral:rRNA from 1 species